rnacentral:rRNA from 1 species
AACGAACGCUGGCGGCAGGCUUAACACAUGCAAGUCGAACGCCCCGCAAGGGGAGUGGCAGACGGGUGAGUAACGCGUGGGAACAUACCCUUUCCUGCGGAAUAGCUCUGGGAAACUGGAAUUAAUACCGCAUACGCCCUACGGGGGAAAGAUUUAUCGGGGAAGGAUUGGCCCGCGUUGGAUUAGCUAGUUGGUGGGGUAAAGGCCUACCAAGGCGACGAUCCAUAGCUGGUCUGAGAGGAUGAUCAGCCACAUUGGGACUGAGACACGGCCCAAACUCCUACGGGAGGCAGCAGUGGGGAAUAUUGGACAAUGGGCGCAAGCCUGAUCCAGCCAUGCCGCGUGAGUGAUGAAGGCCCUAGGGUUGUAAAGCUCUUUCACCGAUGAAGAUAAUGACGGUAGUCGGAGAAGAAGCCCCGGCUAACUUCGUGCCAGCCGCCGCAGUAACAC